CCUACGGGAGGCAGCAGUGGGGAAUAUUGGGCAAUGGAGGAAACUCUGACCCAGCAACGCCGCGUGAAUGAUGAAGGUCUUCGGAUUGUAAAGUUCUUUUCUAAGGGAAGAAGAAAGUGACGGUACCUUAGGAAUAAGCCUCGGCUAACUACGUGCCAGCAGCCGCGGGAAUACGUAGGAGGCGAGCGUUAUCCGGAAUGACUGGGCGUAAAGGGGGCGUAGGUGGUUUGGCAAGUUAGUAGCGUAACUCCAAGGCUCAACCUUGGAACUACUACUAAAACUGUUGGACUUGAGUGCAGGAGGGGCAACCGGAAUUCCUAGUGUAGCGGUGGAAUGCGUAGAUAUUAGGAGGAACACCAGUGGCGAAGGCGGGUUGCUAGACUGUAACUGACACUGAGGCACGAAAGCGUGGGGAGCAAACAGGAUUAGAUACCCGUGUAGUC
rnacentral:rRNA from 1 species